UACGUUAAUAGCGAUUCGUUUGACGUUAGCGACAGAAGAAAGCACCGGCUAACUCCGUGCCAGCAGCCGCGGUAAUACGGAGGGUGCGAGCGUUAAUCGGAAUUACUGGGCGUAAAGCGCAUGCAGGUGGUUUGUUUAAGUCAGAUGUGAAAGACCCGGGGCGUCAACCUACGGAAUAGCAUUUGUAAACUAGGCAGACUAGAGUACUGUAGAGGGGGGUAGGAAUUUCAGGUGUAGCGGUGAAAUAGCGUAGAGAUCUGAAGGAAUACCGGUGGCGAAGGCGGCCCCCUCGGACAGAUACUGACACUCAGAUGCGAAAGCGUGGGGAGCAAACAGGAUUAGAUACCCUGGUAG
rnacentral:rRNA from 1 species